AGUGAACGCUGGCGGUAGGCCUAACACAUGCAGGUCGAACGGCAGCACAGUAAGAGCUUGCUCUUACGGGUGGCGAGUGGCGGACGGGUGAGGAAUACAUCGGAAUCUACUUUUUCGUGGGGGAUAACGUAGGGAAACUUACGCUAAUACCGCAUACGACCUACGGGUGAAAGCAGGGGAUCUUCGGACCUUGCGCGAUUGAAUGAGCCGAUGUCGGAUUAGCUAGUUGGCGGGGUAAAGGCCCACCAAGGCGACGAUCCGUAGCUGGUCUGAGAGGAUGAUCAGCCACACUGGAACUGAGACACGGUCCAGACUCCUACGGGAGGCAGCAGUGGGGAAUAUUGGACAAUGGGCGCAAGCCUGAUCCAGCCAUACCGCGUGGGUGAAGAAGGCCUUCGGGUUGUAAAGCCCUUUUGUUGGGAAAGAAAAGCAGCAGGUUAAGACCCCGCUGUUCUGACGGUACCCAAAGAAUAAGCACCGGCUAACUUCGU
rnacentral:rRNA from 1 species